AGGACGAACGCUGGCGGCGUGCUUAACACAUGCAAGUCGAGCGGAAAGGCCCUUCGGGGUACUCGAGCGGCGAACGGGUGAGUAACACGUGGGUAACCUGCCCCUUGCUCUGGGAUAACUCCGGGAAACCGGGGCUAAUACCGGAUAUGACACUCGCAGGCAUCUGCUGGGUGUGGAAAGUUUUUCGGCGAGGGAUGGGCCCGCGGCCUAUCAGCUUGUUGGUGGGGUGAUGGCCUACCAAGGCGGUGACGGGUA
rnacentral:rRNA from 1 species